AUCCGCCGGAUCUCCUGGCAGGCCGCCUACGGGGCCUGAGACAUAGGAAUUGGUUUCGAAGGGCUCUCUCCUCCUCCCUGAGCCCUUCGGAUAUCGGCGGCGGCCUCACUCCUCCUCCCGAGGCCGCCGCCGCAA
rnacentral:ncRNA from 11 species